rnacentral:rRNA from 1 species
CCUACGGGUGGCAGCAGUGAGGAAUAUUGGUCAAUGGACGAGAGUCUGAACCAGCCAAGUAGCGUGAAGGAUGACUGCCCUAUGGGUUGUAAACUUCUGUUAUAGGGGAAUAAAAUGUUGCACGUGUGGGAUUUUGUAUGUACCAUAUGAAUAAGGAUCGGCUAACUCCGUGCCAGCAGCCGCGGUAAUACGGAGGAUCCGAGCGUUAUCCGGAUUUAGGGGGUUUAAAGGGAGCGUAGGGGGAUUGUUAAGUCAGUUGUGACCGUUUGCGGCUCAACCGUAAAAUUGCAGUUGAUACUGGCAGUCUUGCGUACCGUAGCGGUGGGCGGAAUUCUUGUUGUAGCGGUGACAUGCUUAGAUCUCACG